rnacentral:rRNA from 1 species
GACGAACGCUGGCGGCGUGCUUAACACAUGCAAGUCGAACGAAGUGGCGAACGGGUGAGUAACGCGUAAUCAACCUGCCCUUCAGAGGGGGACAACAGUUGGAAACGACUGCUAAUACCGCAUACUGAAGGAGGGGAUUGCGUCUGAUUAGCUAGUUGGAGGGGUAACGGCCCACCAAGGCGAUGAUCAGUAGGCGGUCUGAGAGGAUGAACGGCCAAAAUGGGACUGAGAAACGGGCCAGAAUCCGAAGGGAAGGAGCAGGGGGGAAUUAUCCGCAAUGGACGAAAGUCUGGCGGAGCAACGCCGCGGGAGUGAUGACGGGCUUCGGGUUGUAAAGCUGUGUUAAUCGGGACGCGGUACCGGAAGAGAAAGCCACGGCUAACUACGUGCCAGCAGCCGCGGUAAUAC